CCUGUAUGCAGGGGGGUGUGGCACAGCGUUUUGCCUGGUGCCCUGCUGAAUCGGGGUGAGCGAACGUUCUUUCCCUUUGGCAGGCCUGGCCAUCUGUUACUUUGGAAACCCCAGAAACGCGUCCUGAGAUAAGCUGGCACUGUACUUUUCCUCUUAGAUCCGUAGUAGAAAAGUAACUCUGAAACGCUCUAUCUCUGACCUGCCUUUUUCCCUUUUGGAGCAGAAAACAUUGACAUUUAUGAAAAUCUGGGCCAGCCGUAGUUAGGCAGCCUAAGAAUGAGGUAGGCAUUUCCUAUUAGGUAACGUUGAAAGGAGCAGAGACAUUUCCUCCUCCUUAUUUUCUAGGAAAAUACGGCAACACCACAGAUGGAGAAACCGGCUGUAGAACGAAGCUGGUCCUUUGGGAUGCUUUUUAAUUGGAAGCCUCUAGAGGGUUUUUCGUGUUCCUGUCUACUGAGUUAGGCCUAACCUAGCCCACAAAUGGUGUUGACAGCUGUCCUUUGCUGGGUGAUUUCACUGGGCCUGGGACCCACUGAUGGAAAAGGGAUAUUGGUGGAAAGGACAACUAACAUGCUGCACGCACAACAGAAGCCCAGACUCCCCGGAAAAACGUCUUACGGGUCAGUGACUUAACGGCAGUCUCACUGCUACCAUUAGGUUUCAGAAUCAUCCUGGUGAGUGCGGACAAGGCCCAAGGUUCCCUGCUCCCCAGUGUUGGUUGCAUUCCGUGCAACUGACUCUUCGGGCGUCUUGUCGUGAAGCCGGCAGUGCUGAGUGAAUAAAUCCAAGCUGUGUAUGGCAUUACAUACAAAACUCUA